rnacentral:lncRNA from 1 species
AAUCUUUUCAGAUAUUAAUUUAUGUGGUGUUCUCUCUGUAUCUUCUCUUUUUCGAUGUCCCUGACUACCUACCUCUCCCUUUUUCUCCUUUCUCCACCUCCAUUCAAGCUGACCCUUGAUUUCAGCAGUUUGGCUUCAGUGACUUGUGGAGCAUCUGCCUUAAGACAAGUCCCAGAAAAGUGACCCCUGAUCCAAAAUCUCCUGAUCAAUUCAAUGAUGGUCCAUCAAGCUCAGCUGGAGUGCAAUGGCAUGAUCUCAGCUCACUGCAACCUCAGCCUCCCGGAUUCAAGUGAUUCUCCUGCCUCAGCCUCUCAAAUAACUGGGAUUACAGGCACCUGCCACCACACCCAGAUAAUUUUUGUAUUUUUAGUAGAGACAGAUUUCACCAUGUUGGCCAGGCUAGUCUUAAACUCCUGACCUGCCCAUCUUGGCCUCCCAAAGUGCUGGGAUUACAGGCAUGAGCCACCAUGCCUGGCCUAUUUUACAUAUAUUUUAGUAAAUACAGGUAUGCAUUUUGGAGAUAUGUGUAUAUCCUUUAACACAUGAUGCUAAAUAAUUUUCAAAGUGGCAGUCCAUUUACAUCCCCCAAUACUGGAUGACAGUUCCAGUUACUCCAUGUCUUCAUGCAAGUGUCUCCAACCCAGCUUCCUACUCUUCUUGAAUAAACAAUAAACAAUACAAGUGACCAAUAAACACAUGCUCACUAGUAUUGCCAAUCUUUUAAUCUUAGCCAUUCUGGUGGAUGUUGAGGAUUAUUGAUACAUAUGUUUUAAAAUUAGUAUCGUUCUGAAAACUAAAAGUAUGGCUAACACUCCACAACAUCCAUCUUUCUUCCUUCUCCAGAGGUAACCAUAAUCUGAAGUUAGUAUCAUUUCCAGGCAUAUUUUGUCAUUUUUAAAAGGUUUGUAUAUAUAUCUGUAAAUAAUGUAUACAACUGAUUUUUGCUUUACAAUUUUACAUAUAUGGCAUUCCCAUUUGAUUUUUCUUUCACCAAUAUCUCUCCCAAAUUUAAGAAUUACUCCAUAUUGAUACUUGUAAAGUCUAUGAAUUUUAAUUUCUGUAUAGAUAACAUGCAAUUUAUUUCUUUUCCUAAUAGUUGCUUAAAAUUUUUUGCUGUUAAA